CGAGUAUAAAGAAGAGGAUGAAGGCUUAAGCAGGAAACUUUGACAGCUCCAAAGACCUUAAUCCUUAUAAAGAAGUAAUGAAGUUUCAACUUUGCACUCAGCCCCAGAGAGGAUCUGAAUCUGUGUCUAUUGACAUCUGAUUUCUUCGACAUACAGAAAAAGACUUUUGGAGGAAUAAAAUCCAACAAAAAGAAUGAAAAUUAAAAGGUUUUCAAGAAACCUUUGCAACUUUAACAUAGCAUUUUGAGGAGUAAAAGUGACACCUGGAAAAAGCCAUCCUUGAGAACUAACUCCCCACAAACUGAUCAGAUGUCACAACUGUGAUUUUUCUUCAGAGAGAGCAAAACUAUGGGUUAAGAUGUGUUUGGAAGGCAGAAAUCUGACCAAGAGUCUGU
ensembl:lncRNA LINC01378 long intergenic non-protein coding RNA 1378